rnacentral:ncRNA from 2 species
GUCUGGUUUGGAGGCAAUGAAAAACUGUCUGGAAUUGGGCGCUUGGACAGUUGGGAGCCAGUAGCGCAACCGGCCAAUGUC